UACGUAGGGUGCAAGCGUUAAUCGGAAUUACUGGGCGUAAAGCGUGCGCAGGCGGUGAUGUAAGACAGUUGUGAAAUCCCCGGGCUCAACCUGGGAACUGCAUCUGUGACUGCAUCGCUGGAGUGCGGCAGAGGGGGAUGGAAUUCCGCGUGUAGCAGUGAAAUGCGUAGAGAUCCGGAGGAACCCCAGAGGCGAAGGCGGUGCCCUGGCUCGCAUCUGACGCUCAGACACGAAAGCAUGGGGAGCGAACGGG
rnacentral:rRNA from 1 species